rnacentral:rRNA from 1 species
UACGUAGGGGGCUAGCGUUGUCCGGAUUUAUUGGGCGUAAAGGGCGCGUAGGCGGCCUGGCAAGUGGAAGGUGAAAUCCCUCGGCUUAACCGAGGAACUGCCCUCCAAACUGCUUGGCUUGAGACCGGGAGAGGUGAGUGGAAUUCCCAGUGUAGCGGUGAAAUGCGUAGAUAUUGGGAGGAACACCAGUGGCGAAGGCGGCUCACUGGACCGGUACUGACGCUGAGGCGCGAAAGCGUGGGGAGCAAACGGGG